UUAGUGGCGGACGGGUGAGUAACGCGUGGGUAACCUGCCUUACACAGGGGGAUAACACUUAGAAAUAGGUGCUAAUACCGCAUAAGCGCACAGUCCCGCAUGGGACAGAGUGAAAAACAUUAGUGGUGUAAGAUGGACCCGCGUCUGAUUAGCUUGUUGGCGGGGUAACGGCCCACCAAGGCGACGAUCAGUAGCCGGCCUGAGAGGGUGGACGGCCACAUUGGGACUGAGACACGGCCCAAACUCCUACGGGAGGCAGCAGUGGGGGAUAUUGGACAAUGGGGGGAACCCUGAUCCAGCGACGCCGCGUGAGUGAAGAAGUAUUUCGGUAUGUAAAGCUCUGUCAGCAGGGAAGAAAGAAAUGACGGUACCUGACCAAGAAGCCCCGGCUAACUACGUGCCAGCAGCCGCGGUAAUACGUAGGUGGCGAGCGUUAUCCGGAAUGAUUGGGCGUAAAGGGUGCGUAGGCGGCCUGCUAAGUCUGGAGUGAAAGGUACCGGCUCAACCGGUACAGGCUCUGGAAACUGGCGGGCUAGAGAGCAGGAGAGGGCGGUGGAACUCCAUGUGUAGCGGUAAAAUGCGUAGAUAUAUGGAAGAACACCAGUGGCGAAGGCGGCCGCCUGGCCUGUUACUGACGCUGAGGCACGAAAGCGUGGGGAGCAAAUAGGAUUAGAUACCCUAGUAGUC
rnacentral:rRNA from 1 species